UUGAGGUUAAGUUAUUAAGGGCGCAUGGUGGAUGCCUUGGCACUAGGAGCCGAUGAAGGGCGUGACUAACUGCGAUAAGCUUCGGUAAGCUGUAAGUAAGCAAUGACCCGGAGAUUUCCGAAUGGGGAAACCCAAAACCGUGAGGUUUUAUCGCUAAGUGAAUUCAUAG
rnacentral:rRNA from 1 species